UUCGGGAAUAUUCGUUCGAUCCAAAUAAAGUAAAACGUAUCCCACAAUGCACCAUUCGGCUUAGCAACAAAACACCGGUCUUUUCCGGUAGGUAUACAAAAUGGCGGCUGCUUUGCGAAAAGAUUGACAGGCAAACAUCGUUUUUGAUAUUUUCUUAACUGAAAAUUGUUGUAUUUUUUUAAAAUGAGGUCAAAACACGGGUCACAACACGCCUAUGGUUAGAAUAGGAGGCGAAGGGCAAGUCAGUUGAAGCAGGCACGUUCGAAAUGCGGUGUUAGAGUUACGACCCGUGUUGACAGCGCGAUCAUCCCUUGUCAGAUUCUGACAGCUUGGACGUUUUAGAUGCAUCGGAAUCAUCCGGGGACCACGCCGUUGGGGAAAACAUCCCCGUUGGAGACAAUGAAGGCUUGCGGCGGCCAUCUUGGAUGUUUCCAUGGCAACCGGUGGCAACAUCACCUGGAAAAGACUCCAUUUCAAUUGUUAAUAUGUAUACCUCAAAGUUGUAACCCAUUAAAACUAACAAAUACUU